rnacentral:lncRNA from 1 species
UCUAGUUUACAUUUCAUAGAGAAGAUGUCAAAGCUAUUAUCUUUGUAGUCUCCUGAGCUGGCUAGAUGAUACUUGGACCUUAUAUAAUGAUUCAAUUAUUUUAUAUUGGUAGGGUUCAUGCUAUGCCUGGGGAUCAUAAAAGGAAUUUAGAGGAGCUCUGCAAGAUUUAGUUUGCUCCCCAAUUGGGGGGCAUACAUGGUAUAACAAUUUUUUUACUACUAAUUUUAAUUUUUUUGUUUCGUUUAUAGGAUUGUAGGUGCAAGGUUGCACAUAAUGGCACAUGACAUUGCACUAUCCAGUACUUUGAGCAUUGGCAUCGAGUGGAUCAUGAGGUCCAUUUUUUUAAAUUGUAUACAAUUUGAUCUUUUUUGAGUUUUCUUUUGACUAAUUACUUUUUUUUCU